CCUACGGGUGGCAGCAGUGAGGAAUAUUGGUCAAUGGACGAGAGUCUGAACCAGCCAAGUAGCGUGAAGGAUGACUGCCCGAUGGGUUGUAAACUUCUUGUAUAGGGGAAUAAAAUGUGCCACGUGUGGGAGUUUGUAUGUACCAGAUGAAUAAGGAUCGGCUAACUCCGUGCCAGCAGCCGCGGUAAUACGGAGGAUCCGAGCGUUAUCCGGAUUUAUUGGGUUUAAAGGGAGCGUAGGUGGGUUGUUAAGUCAGUUGUGAAAGUUUGCGGCUCAACCGUAAAUUUGCAGUUGAAACUGGCAGUCUUGAGUUCAGUAGAGGUGGGCGGCAUUCGUGUUGUAGCG
rnacentral:rRNA from 1 species